GCCUUCAUGAAGCUGGAAUUGCUAGUAAUCGCGGAUCAGCAUGCCGCGGUGAAUACGUUCCCGGGCCUUGUACACACCGCCCGUCACACCAUGAGAGUCUGUAACACCCAAAGCCGGUGGGAUAACCUUUAUAGGAGUCAGCCGUCUAAGGUAGGACAGAUGAUUAGGGUGAAGUCGUAACAAGGUAUC
rnacentral:rRNA from 1 species